rnacentral:lncRNA from 1 species
AUGGAGAGGACCUGGCAGGGAAUCUGGCCCAAGCACCAAAAGUUUACCCUAAAAUUCAUGUUUCCACUGCCUUCUCUCCCCUUACUAGGCAUUUCUCAAAAGGUGAUCAAGAGGUCACUUCUCCAAAUGCCUCAAUCUCAUGAACAGGGAAAUAGUGAAGGUGUACCAGAAGGACACACACAGGUAGCUGAAGAUGGACUCUCAAAGACCCAUAGGUGUAAACAACUCUUUCCACGAGGGAGGACAGAGAAGUUGGAAGGACAAAAAUCAAAGGUCACCAAUAGCUUACAGACUCCCUUGGUAAUUUCUACAUGUCACAAAGUUGAAUGCAAGAUGGAUGAGAGUCAAGGCAUCUAAAGAAGGCUAAGGCAACAUAUG